GAGGAAAAAUGGAAAAUGAUUAUUUAAAUGAUUGAUGACAUUCUUUGAAAGUUUGACGUGACACCAACUUCAACUUCAAUCGGUUUUCUUUUUAUUUAGAAAUGGGGUAAAGAAAAAGGUUUAGAUCGAAAUUUGUAGAGUACAGUAAACGAUGAAGAAGAAGAAAACACAUUAUCAAAAGGUGGUCAUUCCUAAAGGCAUGAUCAAUCCUGGUGAGACUACCAUCAUCGAAAUACCCGAUUUACUUCAACGACAACCGGUUUUAAUUGCGAAUAAACGAAUCGAUAAUGUAUCAUCGAAAUUUCAACCGUCGGCGUCGUCCAGUUUUUCUCAUAAAGGGAUAAUGACUUCAAAUAAACAGAAUUAUGUUGGUCAAACUGAAAAAGUUCCAGAUUUUACCCCUCCGGUUAUUGAUGAAGAAGAAUCCUUUCUAAAUAAAACAAUUCCCCUUGGAAAUUCUACGAUGUAUCUAAGUAGCAACACAAACGACUUAGACGCAACGGAGUACAAGGAAAAACAAAUUAUGGAAAAACGUUUAUUAAAAUUCCAACGUGCGAGGAGAAGACUUUUUGAAAGAACAGCCCCCAUCGCUGAUGACACCGAUGAUGAUGAAGAUGACGAAUCAUUAACUUGGUGUGUCGAUCUUCCGAAAUCUUCAAACAUCCGAAUGGUUCCGAAAAUGUCUAAGCAAGAUAAAAAAAUUUCAUGUAAUUUUAAUUCUUCGAAAAAUUCAAUUGCUACAGCAAAUUUCUCGAAUUCGCUUACAAGUUCUCAAGAAUUUAUUCAAGAAAGAAUUCGCGAUUAUUGGUCGGCGAAUUGUGGUUCGCAAUGUGAUACUGAGCCCCCUGCUUUGCAAAUGCAAUGUUGUCCUCAAAAAUAUACUAGUAAUAAGAAGUCGUCGGUGAAAUUGUUUCCGGAAUGCACUUCAUAUUUAUGCAAUUCAUCGGAUUGUCGAGGAUCGAGAAAGCCAAUGGCACCAAAAAAGAAAUUAUAAAUUAUUUUUUCUUCUGAUUUUCUGUGAUCUUCUUUGACUCGUUUAUCUUGUUGGUGAUGAGAGUGUUGGUUGCCAGGAGAAGAAAUGUGCAAAAAAGGCCAAGGUGAACAAACGAACUAAAUCGAAACCACGGUUAUAAGAUGUAAGAUUCUUUCUUUUCAGAAAGGCAUUUUUUGGUUUUUUCUAAAUACCUUUUUUCUUUUCC
rnacentral:misc_RNA from 1 species